ACGAACGCUGGCGGCGUGCUUCACACAUGCAAGUCGAACGGAAAGGCCCUGCUUUUGUGGGGUGCUCGAGUGGCGAACGGGUGAGUAACACGUGAGUAACCUGCCCUUGACUUUGGGAUAACUUCAGGAAACUGGGGCUAAUACCGGAUAUGAGCUCCUGCUGCAUGGUGGGGGUUGGAAAGUUUCGGCGGUUGGGGAUGGACUCGCGGCUUAUCAGCUUGUUGGUGGGGUAGUGGCUUACCAAGGCUUUGACGGGUAGCCGGCCUGAGAGGGUGACCGGCCACAUUGGGACUGAGAUACGGCCCAGACUCCUACGGGAGGCAGCAGUGGGGAAUAUUGCACAAUGGGCGGAAGCCUGAUGCAGCAACGCCGCGUGCGGGAUGACGGCCUUCGGGUUGUAAACCGCUUUCGCCUGUGACGAAGCGUGAGUGACGGUAAUGGGUAAAGAAGCACCGGCUAACUACGUG
rnacentral:rRNA from 1 species